CAACAAUUAAACUUAUUCUGUGCUAUGCCUAUAUUUUCCCCACUGUGCCAUGCUGCCUCAACAAAAAAACUAAAAGUUCUAUUGAUACAUUAUUCCAUAUGCAAAGCACUAUGCAAGCAGGUAGAGCUAAAAUUUUACCUACCACUUUUGUUUUAGAUUCUAGAUGUGUGCUUAUUGUUUCUUGCCUGCCGGUUUACUUUCUAUACUUGCCUGACAGAGAAGAUAACAGAUGCAGAGUGUGAGAGCAGAAGAAAAACAAAAUAUGUCCUGAUCUCAAAGUCAAAAUUAACUCCAACAAGAAGAGAAAGUUGAAGAAGAAUCUGCUCCAGGUCUGGGAAAGUGUCCAGGGCAUACGUCCUUCAAUAUUCCACACUUCUUCUAGCUGAGAUCUGAUCACCGGCUCUUAAAUACUUUUCCCUACAUGUGAUUUAUUACUUUUACUCCCAGUCAUUGGCCAGAGCUUACCACAUGGCCCAGUCAACUGCAAAGAAGCUGAGAAAUGUAAUUUUCCAAGUACUGGGAAGAAGAAAACUGGAAAUAUGGGUGAGUCAGGUACCUAAAUAUGGGAUACCUUGCUACCAUACCUUUAACCUUUCCUUGCCUUCUGUUAAUCAUUUUAGUCCCUCCUACGCUUCACUGAAACCCAUCAGGUAGUGUUACAUUCAUGUCAUGUACUCACCUUUGAUUCACUCUCAGACACGCCUAGCCACACCUCUUGCCACUAGCAAAUUUGAUGGCUCAUGAUAAAUAACAAAACUUGUAGCAAGCAGGGACUUGCAUUGUUGAGUAGACGCUUUCAGCAGCCCCUUUUUUCCCUUCUAAAAUAAGAACAGUAGCAGAGAAUGAUGGAUUUUUGCCAGGUGGUGGGCAGGAGAAGAUAAUGAGAGCUAAUGAGAUCAUCUCGGUAAGACCACACUACUAUAACUUAUUUCUUUGCAAAUUGUUAUAAGAAGAGUAAGUUAAAUCUAAACAGAAAAAAAAAAGGGAGUAUCUACUACGUGCCA
rnacentral:lncRNA from 1 species